rnacentral:rRNA from 1 species
UACAGAGGGGGCAAGCGUUGUUCGGAAUUACUGGGCGUAAAGGGCGCGUAGGCGGCCUGCUAAGUCGAACGUGAAAUCCCCGGGCUCAACCCGGGAACUGCGUCCGAUACUGACAGGCUUGAAUCCGGGAGAGGGAUGUGAAAUUCCAGGUGUAGCGGUGAAAUGCGUAGAUAUCUGGAGGAACACCGGUGGCGAAGGCGGCAUCCUGGACCGGUAUUGACGCUGAUGCGCGAAAGCCAGGGGAGCAAACAGG